AAGGAAGAUUUUUCUUCCUGAUUUAGGAUUAGAAAUAGGUGGUGAUAUGAACCUAGCUGCUGGCAUUCAGGUGGCACAAUAGGCUCUUAAGCAUCGGCAAAAUAAGAAGCAGCAGCAAAGGAUUAUUGUCUUUGCUGGAAGUCCUGUCAAGCAUGAGAAGAAAGUAUUGGAGAUGAUUGGAAGAAAGUUA